rnacentral:lncRNA from 1 species
GUCAAAUAAUCUCCACGGUAAUGAGAUGUGCCAAUGCUUAUACAACUGCAUACCAAAUAUCAUUGACCUACCACUAGUGGUUCCCCAUAAAUCAACCUAAUCACAAACUAAUACAUGAAAACUAAGCAAAAGUUUCAAAGUCAAUAGACCAUGACUGAGGGGGCGGGGCCAAAUAAUCUCCAUGGAAAUGAGACUUAUGCCAAUGCUUAUACAACUGCAUACCAAUUAUCAUUAACUUACCACUAGUGGUUCCCCAUAAACUGACCUAAUCACAAACUAAUACAUGAAAACUAAGCAAAAGUUUCAAAGUCAAUAGACCAUAACUGAGGGGGCGGGGCCAAAUAAUCUCCAUGGUAAUGAGAUGUGCCAAUACUAAUACAACUGCAUACCAAAUAUCUUUGACUUACCACUAGUGGU